rnacentral:lncRNA from 1 species
CCGGGCCCUGUCAGUGGAGAGGGGGACUAAUCCCGGCCGGACUCACUGAUCCGCGCCUCCAGCGUCUCGGGCUCCAUGGCGGAGGGCCCCGCCGGUUCCUCAGCGGGGCAGGGCCGCGCCGCCGCCUUCCAGCCGCCCGGCCCGGCGCCGCCGAGCCAUCGAGAGCGCACCGAACCGUCUAGAGCGCCGCUCCGGCAGUCCCCAACCAUAGAGUGCCCGGAAGUCGGCGGGGCACAGCGCCGCCCCGCGCCCAGCGCGCCCCCUGCCGGGCCACCCCCGGCUGCACCAUCGAGUUCACAGCGCAGGGGAAAGAAAGGCGCGCGGAAGGGGGAAGGAAGCGGAAGGGCCGCCGGGAAGAAAGAGAGAGAGGGAGAGCGGGGCGAGGCAGAAGGCCGGAAACCAGCCGCUACACUGAAACCGGCCCUUCCCGGAAGAGCCUUUAUGCUGGCAGAUGAAGCCACUUCCGCUCCGGUAAUCCCGGCCAGCGACACCCAAUACCGCUUGUUUUCUCUGUGCUCCAGUGGUCUUGGAAGGAACAGCAUGUCUGUGUCCCUGUGGUGAUUUAUUGCCUUCGUUGUUUGCCUUUUUUUUUUUUUUUUCCUUCUCGUUUUUAAAUAAUGCUGGUGAAAGAUGCCAACUCCGUGACCUUUAAGGGAGCGUAGGCCUCCACCUGUUUGAAGAGUCCCCAGUGCGCCUUGUCAGCCCCAAAGCGCAGGCUGCUGGGGCCGGCCCUGCCCGAGGAACCUCCGCGAUAAGAGCGGGAGUUAUUCAGCCUGGAAGCGUCUAAUCCUGGAGACAGACGUCUGAGUCAGAGCGCCCCUGUGUUGGGUUACUCAUUUACAGUGCUAAUCCCGCAGAUGGCAGGCGAGGGAACUGCCUUGAUGUCACACCUAAUGGCUUUUCCUUAUGGAUAGCCAUUGUUUUGGGGGGGAUUUUUUGGCCAUUAAAAGCUACUUUUUGGCACUUGAAUGUAGUUCUUUUUUUAACUGUUACUGCCCUUGUAUCACAAAGCCUUUUUUUAAGCGCCUUUCAUAGAAAAUUGCCAUAUCCUUCCCUCUGCUGUGUUCAGGCACGUUUUACAUGAGUUAUUUUAAUCUUAUGAGUCAGCCUUGCCUGUCACUACUACCUCUUUGAUUUUUCUGAGAAUCCUUAAGUCAUCUUUAGGAGACCGAGGCCUAGAUACUGCUCUUCUAGGCCAUGUACGACCUACAUAGAAGGCACGUGUGUCUUCUCUCCAACCCACAAAGCGGUGCCUCUGAAGGAGUGGUUUUUCACCCUUUCACUCAGGUUUCGAGCCGUCUAAGUCUGGAGGUUGGUUGUUUUCCUGUCUUUGGCAACACCCAGUGGUUAGCAAGUCUGGGAUGAAUGGAAGGCUGCACCUCUUUUCAGCUGGUUGCAAACAAUGGCGAGUGAACUCACGCGGAACAGGCAUGUCAGCAGCGGCCUUUCAAACCUUGCUGUUACUUCUCAAGGUUUACGAGUCUCUCU